GACGGAGGGUGCAAGCGUUGUUCGGAUUGACUGGGCGUAAAGGGCGUGUAGGCGGUUGGUCAAGUCUGAUGUGAAAGCCCGAGGCUUAGCCUCGGAAGUGCAUCGGAAACUAGCCAGCUGGAGCGCGAUAGAGGAGGGUAGAAUUCCUGGUGUAGCGGUGAAAUGCGUAGAUAUCAGGAGGAAUACCGGCGGCGAAGGCGGCCCUCUGGAUCGUUGCUGACGCUGAGACGCGAAAGCGUGGGGAGCAAACAGG
rnacentral:rRNA from 1 species